rnacentral:rRNA from 1 species
GGAAGGGGUGUAUUUAUUAGAUAAAAAACCAACGCCCUUCGGGGCUUCUUGGUGAUUCAUGAUAACUUCACGGAUCGCAUGGCCUUGCGCCGGCGACGGUUCAUUCAAAUUUCUGCCCUAUCAACUUUCGAUGGUAAGGUAUUGGCUUACCAUGGUUUCAACGGGUAACGGGGAAUUAGGGUUCGAUUCCGGAGAGGGAGCCUGAGAAACGGCUACCACAUCCAAGGAAGGCAGCAGGCGCGCAAAUUACCCAAUCCCGACACGGGGAGGUAGUGACAAUAAAUACUGAUACAGGGCUCUUUUGGGUCUUGUAAUUGGAAUGAGUACAAUUUAAACCUCUUAACGAGGAACAAUUGGAGGGCAAGUCUGGUGCCAGCAGCCGCGGUAAUUCCAGCUCCAAUAGCGUAUAUUAAAGUUGUUGCAGUUAAAAAGCUCGUAGUUGAAACUUGGGCCUGGCUGGCAGGUCCGCCUCACCGCGUGUACUUGUCCGGCCGGGCCUUUCCUUCUAGAGAACCUCAUGCCCUUCACUGGGUGUGCUGGGGAACGGUGGACUUUUAC